rnacentral:rRNA from 1 species
GUCCGUAAGUCAUGGGAUUAAGUGGAAACGAUAGUGGGAACGCGAGUCGAGUACAGCCAGGAUGAUUGGCUUAGAAGUACAGCCAUCAUUUAAAGAAAGCGUAAUAGCUCACUGGUCGAGUCGGCCUGCGACGGAAGAUGUAACGGGGCUAAACCAUGCACCGAAGCUGCGGCAGCGACACUAUGUGUUGUUGGGUAGGGGAGCGUUCUGUAAGCCUGCGAAGGUGUGCUGUGAGGCAUGCUGGAGGUAUCAGAAGUGCGAAUGCUGACAUAAGUAACGAUAAAGCGGGUGAAAAGCCCGCUCGCCGGAAGACCAAGGGUUCCUGUCCAACGUUAAUCGGGGCAGGUGAGUCGACCCCUAAGGCGAGGCCGAAAGGCGUAGUCGAUGGGAAACAGGUUAAUAUUCCUGUACUUGGUGUUACUGCGAAGGGGGGACGGAGAAGGCUAUGUUAGCCGGGCG